UACGUAGGGUGCGAGCGUUAAUCGGAAUUACUGGGCGUAAAGCGUGCGCAGGCGGUUAUGCAAGACAGAUGUGAAAUCCCCGGGCUCAACCUGGGAACUGCAUUUGUGACUGCAUGGCUGGAGUGCGGCAGAGGGGGAUGGAAUUCCGCGUGUAGCAGUGAAAUGCGUAGAUAUGCGGAGGAACACCGAUGGCGAAGGCAAUCCCCUGGGCCUGCACUGACGCUCAUGCACGAAAGCGUGGGGAGCAAGCAGG
rnacentral:rRNA from 1 species